rnacentral:lncRNA from 1 species
AGAACAGUCUGUGCUCCCCUGAGUUGGUGCAAGGAACCAGUCCCUGCUUAGAACACUGUUUGAAAGAUCAAAGGAGCUGCCCUAGAGAGCCAAGAUGAUGACUGAAAGGAAAAAAAGUUGCUAAGGCUGUCCAGUAGAAGGCUGGACCUUUGGCUCUAGGCAUAAUCCCCUUAAUUGUUAGAAGAAGAGUAUUUAACUUUCAAGGAUAAUUAGUUUUUCUUUUAAGGGUGGUAGGGUUGGACUCAACCUUUUGUUUCGAUGUGGGUGCUUUAGAACACUUACAGAAACCUCUCAGGGGUUAAAUCUGUCUUUAGGGCUACCAGGACUUGAAAAAUGUUACCUUGUAUCAAGAAAACCAGAAGUGACAUGUUCAUUUAAAAAGCCUGGUUUGUCAUUGUUUAUCUAAUUUUCAGAGUUGACACAGAAAAUUAGACCAGCUGACACUCACCUUCUGACUGUCUCCCUGGCUCAUUUCCCUGGUCCUUUCCUCCCUGACCCCUGGAAGUACAAAGUGCUCCAAACCCCCAAAAUAUAAAACUUCUCACUGAGUUUCCAAGUCUCCCUGCAGUCAUU